UACGUAGGGUGCGAGCGUUGCCCGGAUUUAUUGGGCGUAAAGGGCGCGUAGGCGGCCACGCACGUCCGUUGUGAAAUCGCCCGGCUCAACUGGGCGGGGUCAGCGGAUACGGUGUGGCUCGAGCAAGCUAGGGGGCAAUGGAAUUCCCGGUGUAGUGGUGGAAUGCGUAGAUAUCGGGGAGGAACACCAGUGGCGAAGGCGGUUGCCUGGAGCUUUGCUGACGCUGAGGCGCGAAAAGCGUGGGGGAGCGAUCCGG
rnacentral:rRNA from 1 species